rnacentral:rRNA from 1 species
CAUGUAGGCGGAUUAAUAAGUUUGGAGUGAAAUCCUAUAGUUUAACUAUAGAACUGCUUUGAAAACUGUUAAUCUAGAAUGUGGGAGAGGUAGAUGGAAUUUCUGGUGUAGGGGUAAAAUCCGUAGAGAUCAGAAGGAAUACCGAUUGCGAAGGCGAUCUACUGGAACAUUAUUGACGCUGAGAUGCGAAAGCGUGGGGAGCAAACA